UCUCAUGGGAUGUGCAGAGGUGGAGUUGAUCUCUAGGCAUGGAAGGAAACAAAACUUUGGCUUCCUGGGGAUUUCUGACCUGCCCAUCAGGAUGCUGCUUGAGAAAGCUGUAAGAUGCUUCCUGUUGGAGGGGUCAGGGAGGGGGCCCCAGUGAGAGACUAGACACUCCCAGAUGAGGGGCCCGAGGUGCCCACUACUCACCUGCCGCUACCUCGAGAGACACAGGGCAUAAUAGUUACAGUUUACACCUUUUUAUUGCUGAGUGGGAUCCCAUUGUAUGAAAUAGGACAAUUUGGCCACGUGUUGAUGGACAUUUUGCUGUUUCCAGGAUUGGACUGCUUGACAAGAGUUCCAGUUGCUCCACAACUUGACCAACACUCAGCUUGUCAGACUUCUGAUGGGUGUGUAGCGAGAAGCAGCGGUGCAAUGUCUCCAGGACCCAGGGAGCUGAGCAGGAGAGGGUGCUACCGCCCAAGGGGAAAGGGAUGGAAAGCAAGAGAGCUUCCUGGCAGAGGAGACCUUUGAGCUAUGAUUGGAUUCGAGAUAUCUCUUGGGGACUGCAGGGCUCCCAGGCCACAGGAGGACAACAAGUCCAGAGCCCAUGUCAUCAGACUUUCUCAAGUCACAGGCCAAAUUGGAGAGGCCACAUGCCCGAAGCCACCCAGAGGGGUCAAGCAAAGCCAGGACUCCAGGCAGCAAAUCUUCCUUAUGUCCUUCCUGCAUGUGAGGCCCUGAGCAGAGUGCCAGGGAUGAGGAGGGACAGACAGAGCAGCAGCUGGCCUGACCGCCCAGUGGCAGAUGUGAGCAAGUUAUCAACUCUAGCACAACAGGAGAGCCCUUACCUGCAGCUGGGGAGACCGGGGACCUCCUGGCUGAAGUGACCUUGAAGCCAAGGCCUCAAAGCUGAAGAGGAAUGUGUUUUCCCAAGAUAAAUGCAAAGGCUGAGAUUCAAGAAAAAAACAGGUGUGAGU
ensembl:lncRNA